CCUGUACUGAAGUUGGGAGGUUUAAUUCUCUGGAGAGGGGAGCUUCCCUGGUGAGUGUUUGAGUGCUAUACCUAAAAUGGGAGUAAAUAAGCAAAACUUUGUGCCACUGAAAAGAAAGACCCUCAUCUGUAUCUCUCCCCAUGCUGACCAAAAUCUGACUAAUCCAAGAGGUUGACCAAAUAUACCAACAAUGAGGUUGGUAUCAUACACCAGAUCACCCUAUAGUGAAAUUCAAAGUCAAAAGCAAGCGCCAUUCAAAGAUUCCUCUUUUUACUCAUGUUUUACUUUAUCAUAGUCCACAACCAAGAAAAUCUAAUAAUAUAGAAAAAUCCUAAGAAUCAAAAAAAGGAAUAUGGAGGAAAUAGAAAUUGCAGAGAUUUUUUUUUUUUUUUUUUUGGUGGUACUGGGGAUUGUAUCCAGGACCUUGUGCAUGCACGGCAAGCACUUUACCAAUAGAGUUAAAAACUGUGAACCACCCUAGAUGCCCUUCAGUAGAUGAAUGGAUGAAAGAAAAUGUGGUGUAUAUACACAAUGGAAUAUUACUCAGCAAUAAAAGAGAAUAAAAUCAUGGCAUUUGCAGGUAAAUGGAUGGCAUUGAAGAAAAUAGUGCUAAGUGAAGUUAGCCAAUCCCCAAAAAAAACAGAUGCCGAAUGUUUUCUCUGAUAUAAGGAGGCUGAUUCAUAAUGAGGUUGAAGGGGGAGUAUGGGAGGAUUAGACAAAUUCUAGAUAGGCAAAAGGGUGGGAGGGGAAGGGAGGGGGCAUGGGGAUAAAAAAAGAUGGUGGAAUGAGAUGGACAUCAUUACCUUAAGUACAUGUAUAAAGACAUGAAUGGUGUGAACAUACUUUGCAUACAAACAGAGACAUGAGAAAUCAUGCUCUGUAUGUGUAAUAUGAAUUGUAAUGCAUUCUGCUGUCAUAUGUAACAAAUUAGAAUUUAAAAAAUUUUUUAAAUAAAAACUCCAGAAAUUGCAGCGAGAACACUUUAAAAAUUCAUAAUAUCCAAAGAAAGGCAGGAGAAGAUGAAGCCACAACAGGAUGCAAUGGGGGAAAUAAGAAUGCUUAGGAAAUAAGAAAGAAAAUAGCAGAAGUGGAAAAAAAAAAUCAACAAUUGGUAACAUUGAGAAAUGUACAGGGAAAAAAAGAAAAUUAGAAGAGUAGAACAAACAGGAAGAAAUUAGUAAUUCUUAAGGCUGCUUGAGAAAUACAGAGAAAUGAAAGUUGUGUGGCAAUUGUGUGCAAUGAAUCAAAAUGCAUUCUGCUGUCAUAUAUACCUAAUUAAAAUAAGUUAAUUAAUUAAUUAAAAAAAUAAAGUAGGAAAGUUGAAAUCCUCCCUAAAAGAUGAUGAAUCGCAUGACAAUUUGAGCAUCACAUGGCUCUAGCCCAGAUAAGAUUGUUGGAGAAGAAAUUAUAAUGCCUUGGAAGGUUACAUAUCAGUUGCCACCUUCUCUCUUCGGGGUAAACAGUCAUGAUGAAAGUACACAAAAUAUUUUUUCCUUUCUUUUCUGAUACAGGAGAUUGAACCCAGAGACACUCUACCACCGAGCUAUAUCCUGGCCCCUUUUAAAAAUUUUUGUUUUGAGAGGGUCUCUUUAAAUUGCUGAGGCUAGCCUCAAACUUGCAAUUCCGCCUCAGCCUCCUGAGUAUCUGGGAUUAAAGAUGUGCACCACCACACACCCAGGCACAAAAACAUCUUUUUAUUGAUGAGGUACAGAAUAAUGUUACUAAAGGGCUAAGACUGAUAGAUAAAACCAAUAAAGUGCUCUUAAUACAAAUGAUUUCUCUGAAUCUGAUUGUCUUUUAACCCACAAGGACAUUUAACCAGCAUGUCGUUCCCAUGGCAUGAGACUAUAGUCUGUAAUACAGAAGGAAACACAUGAUCUACCUAUGUUGGGCAUCCCCAAGAUCAUCCUCAGAUUUAGUGAUGCACUAGAUGAACUCACAGGACUUAGUUGUAUUUAUAGCUAAGAUUUAAUAUACCAGAAGGAUACAAAGAAAAAUCAGCAAAGAAGAAAGUCACAUAAAAUGAAGUUUGCAAGAGACCCAUGGAAUAACACAAAUGCAUAACUACUCCAGCAUCAAAGUGACAAAAGUUGUGAACUGUUGUCUACCAUGGAAGUUCAUCAGAGACUCAGAAGAUGCUAGAAACUAUCCCAAAUCCAGCAGUCUUGGGCCUCCAAUAACUCCCAGCAAGCUACCCAAAUGAGGAAUUCCUGUAAAUCUGUGUAUGCAUAAAUAUCUAUAUAUGCUCAUAUGUAUAUAGACUUUCCAAAAGGAUGCAUGAGAAAGUUAGAACAGUGUUUGCCUCUGGAGAGGGGAAAAAAAAAUAGGUGUCUGGGGAAAAAUGGGAUGAAGGAGACAUUAUUUACUCUUUUGCUCUUUUGAAUCUCAUAUCAUCAGAGCAAGAUUUAAUUAACUGUAUGUUAAAUAUCUUUAACUAAUUUAACUUUUGUCCUUUUUCUCCUCUAGAUGUAAGUAGAACAAAAUAUUCUCAUUUGCCCCAAGCUUUUUCCUAGAAUGAAAACUCCUCCAAAGGUACAAACAGAAUUAUCUGGCCAUACCUAGUGGCUCACGCAUGAAAUCCCAGCAAUUCGGGAGGCUGAGGCAGGAGAACUGCAAGUUUCCAGGUCAGCCUCAGCAACUUAGCGAGGACCCUGUCUCAAAAGUCAAUAUUUUUUAAAAACUUUUUUAGUUGUAAUUGUCCAAUUAUUUUAUUUAUUUAUUUUUAUGUGGUGCUGAGAAUCAAACCCAGGGCCUUGCACGUGCUAGGCAAGCGCUCUACCACUGAGCCACAACCCCAGCCCCAAAAGUCCAUAUUUUUGAAAAGGUCUGGGUAUGUGGCUCAAUGCCUAUGGGUUCCAUUCCCAGUAUCCCUCACCCCAAAAUGUAUUACCUGUAGUUUAUAGCUAAAGUCAGACAUAGCCCCAAAUUGUGUUUUCUAUAGCAUCUUUUAUUGUAUAUAAUAGUGCGGGUGUCCCUGGGGGGACCUAAAUACUUCACGUGAAAUAGCCUUGACCCUGUAAACAACCUAGUUAUCAAUAGUUAUAUAAAAAUCACAUUCAGAUUAUGAGUGUGCCAGUAAUUAGCUCAGAUUAUUUCAAAUAGCCUCUUGUAGUCAUCUUUUUGUUUCCUAGACUUUAGACUUUCCAUUCUCUGACCCAUCCAACAAUUCUAAGGUUUUUAAACUGCAGUUUUGAUAAGAAACCCCUGCAAAACUUCUUAAAACUCAAUGUGAGUCCAAUAUGUAGAGAUUCUCAUUCAUUAGUCUUGUUUGGGGCCCAAGAAUGUGAAUUUAAAACAAGAGUCUCAGGUGAUUGUGAUGCAGGUGGGUCGUGGCAUAUCAUUUGAGAGGCACUAUUCUAAUUAAUAUUUUUAUAAUUUUUCUAAAGUACAUUUCUGUUAUUUCACUACCUUUUCAAAAACAGUUCCCU
rnacentral:lncRNA from 1 species